UACGUAGGGGGCAAGCGUUGUCCGGAAUCAUUGGGCGUAAAGAGCGUGUAGGCGGCUUGGUAAGUCCGCUGUGAAAGUCCAGGGCUCAACCCUGGAAUGCCGGUGGAAACUGUCAGGCUCGAGUCCGGAAGAGGCGAGUGGAAUUCCUGGUGUAGCGGUGAAAUGCGCAGAUAUCAGGAGGAACACCAAUGGCGAAGGCAGCUCGCUGGGACGGUACUGACGCUGAGGUGCGAAAGCGUGGGGAGCAAACAGG
rnacentral:rRNA from 1 species